GAAACAGUUUCAUCUAUCAAAUCAAUCCAAACUUUUGUCAAUAAAUGUUUGAGAAACAUCCCCAACAUCAGAUGGCCAAACAAAAUAUGGCCAAUAAUGAGUUAUGGAGACGAACCAAACAACAGCCAACAACUCAGAAAAUAAGAACAAGAAAGUGGAAGUGGAUCGGGAAUACCCUCAGAAAAAAAGACACAAACAUCUCCAAGGCAGCAAGCCCUAGAAUGGAACCAUAAGGACAUCCAAAAAGGGGGUGGCCAAAAAACACCUGGCGUAGAGGACUUACAACCGAGCUGAGUAAAAUUGGGAAGACCUGGAAAGAAUCAAAACGAACAGCC
rnacentral:lncRNA from 1 species